GAUUCAUUAAUCCGGGAAGCAUCAAAUUCUGUAAAAGAGUAAGAGCUCCCACCAGGUGAACAGAAGAGAUUGGCUUUAUAGGUAGAAAGGAGCAGAAGAGAGCAGAAAUAGGAAACAAAAAGAUUGGUUUCAAAAUUACUUUCCGUGCAGGAUUAACACAGAGGACUUGUCCUGUUGUCUCAGCUCACAAAGUAAGCAGUUUGCUCCACCAUGUGCUCCCUGCCAUUGCUAUCUGACAUCCUCAUCAGAGGCCCAAAGCUAUGGGGAUACCUGAUCUUGGACUGGAACCUCCAGAACUAUGAGCUUUUUAUCUUUUGUUGUUGAUUCACCAUUUAAACUGAAUCAAUUAACUGACCAGUUCCAGUUCUACUACUGAAAAAUUGUCAGGUACUAUUCUUAAUCCUUUAUAUGCAUUAACUCCUUCAAUUAUAACACCGAUCCUUUGGGGUAAGUACCACUAUUUUUGCCCAUUUUACAAAGUAAUUGAAAUACAGAGAAUUUUUUUAAAAUACCUAUUCUCUGUCAUCAGGUCAGUGCUAUGUGGAGACCAGAGAAGAAGAAAAGCAAGUAGCCUCUCUGGUUUUUUAAUUUUACUUGUGUGUCUCUUCCUAUAGAG